CUUUCUGAAAUCAAUAAAAAUAUAUUUUUUUUAAAAAGCAGGUGAGAAGUCAGAUAUGCCCCACAGCCACCAUUUCUAGACUAAAAGAGACUAGAGAGACACAGCAACUGAAAGCAGCUUAGAGUCUGGAUCAGAGUCUGCGUGGAAAGUCAAAAGGCUAUGAAAUAUAUUCUUGGGACAACUAAGGGAAAUUUAAGUGCAUACAUACUGGAUGCCAGAUGAUCUUACGGAAUUAUUGUUAAUUUUCUUAAGGGAUGGUGAAGAAUUUUACAAGGAGCUGGUGGAGAUCAACAUUUAGUCUUAUGCAUUCACUUCAUAGAUGGCCUAGAUGCCAAAAAUUAAGCUAUUUGUUCUGAAACCAUCUCCGAAGUAUAAAGAAACUGCAGAACAUGAAUUGUGAUAUUUCUCCCCAUUUAUGUGUUGGCUGCAGGUCUCUGUUCUCAGCCAUGGGUUACUCUGCCCCUUGGGAGUCAUUGGUAAUAUUAGGAGGCAUUUUUGGUUGUCACUACCAGGGUGAGGUGCUCCUGACAUCUAGUUGGUAGAGGCUAGGAAUGCUGCUAAACAUCCUACAAACUACUGCACAGCACCCCACAACAAAGCACCCCAUAUGAUCUGGCCAAAACGUUAGAAACCCUGUCAUGGAUUAGUUAAAGAAACCCUUGACCUGAUGUAAAGACAGAAGACAUGGAUUCAAGUCCGGACCUGCCACUUCAAGCUGUUGGAACCUGUACCCUAAAAAUUCAGAGAUCAGUUCCCAGGACUCACCUCUUGCAGACUGAUCUUCAUCCUUCAACCAUCCUUGACUGAGCAUCAGUAUGGCCCAAGCUCUGGUCUGGAGAGGACACACGCAAUGGACAAGAGAAAAGGACUCUGCUUGGAGCUUGGGUUCCAGAUGUUCGUGCAGUGAGAGCAGCAACCUCUGGCCUGCAGCCCCAUCCUGGCCGACCCCACUGACCGCAGCCUCAUGGGCAGAAGCAAUUCCUCUGCUAUUUAUAACCGAACCGCCGUUCCUUUUGUCCUUGAAAUUCUGGAAUAAAAUUUGCUUUGGAGAGCUUCCAGAGGCUUUGGGAGAA